AUCCGGCUGACGAGUCGCAAACAGGACGAAACGCGCGUCAAACUGGAU
rnacentral:hammerhead_ribozyme from 1 species